GACAGAGGGUGCAACCGUUGUUCGGAAUUACUGGGCGUAAAGCGAGUGUAGGCGGUCUUAUAAGUCGGGUGUGAAAGCCCCGGGCUCAACCCGGGAAGUGCACUCGAAACUGUGAGGCUAGAGUAUCGGAGAGGUUGGUGGAAUUCUCGGUGUAGAGGUGAAAUUCGUAGAUAUCGAGAGGAACACCGGUGGCGAAGGCGGCCAACUGGACGAAUACUGACGCUGAGACUCGAAAGCGUGGGGAGCAAACAGG
rnacentral:rRNA from 1 species